rnacentral:rRNA from 1 species
GAUGAACGCUGGCGGCGUGCUUAACACAUGCAAGUCGAACGGAGCACCUUGAUUUGAUUCUUCGGAUGAAGAUCUUGGUGACUGAGUGGCGGACGGGUGAGUAACGCGUGGGUAACCUGCCUCAUACAGGGGGAUAACAGUUAGAAAUGACUGCUAAUACCGCAUAAGACCACAGCACCGCAUGGUGCAGGGGUAAAAACUCCGGUGGUAUGAGAUGGACCCGCGUCUGAUUAGGUAGUUGGUGGGGUAACGGCCUACCAAGCCGACGAUCAGUAGCCGACCUGAGGGGGUGACCGGCCACAGUGGGACUGAGACACGGCCCAAACUACUACGGGAGGCAGCAGUGGGGAAUAUUGCACAAUGGGGGAAACCCUGAUGCAGCGACGCCGCGUGAGCGAUGAAGUAUUUCGGUAUGUAAAGCUCUAUCAGCAGGGAAGAAAAUGACGGUACCUGACUAAGAAGCACCGGCUAAAUACGUGCCAGCCGCCGCCGUAA